UACGUAGGGGGCAAGCGUUGUCCGGAAUCAUUGGGCGUAAAGAGCGUGUAGGCGGCUCGAUAAGUCCGUUCUGAAAGUCCAGGGCUCAACCCUGGGAUGCGGAUGGAUACUGUCGGGCUCGAGUCCGGAAGAGGCGAGUGGAAUUCCCGGUGUAGCGGUGAAAUGCGCAGAUAUCGGGAGGAACACCAAUGGCGAAGGCAGCUCGCUGGGACGUGACUGACGCUGAGACGCGAAAGCGUGGGGAGCAAACAGG
rnacentral:rRNA from 1 species